rnacentral:rRNA from 1 species
AGUGAACGCUGGCGGUAGGCCUAACACAUGCAAGUCGAACGGCAGCACAGUAAGAGCUUGCUCUUACGGGUGGCGAGUGGCGGACGGGUGAGGAAUACAUCGGAAUCUACUUUUCGUGGGGGAUAACGUAGGGAAACUUACGCUAAUACCGCAUACGACCUACGGGUGAAAGCAGGGGAUCUUCGGACCUUGCGCGAUUGACUGAGCCGAUGUCGGAUUAGCUCGGUGGCGGGGUAAAGGCCCACCAAGGCGACGACCCGUAGCUGGUCUGAGAGGAGGAUCAGCCACACUGGAACUGAGACACGGUCCAGACUCCUACGGGAGGCAGCAGUGGGGAAUAUUGGACAAUGGGCGCAAGCCUGAUCCAGCCAUGCCGCGUGGGUGAAGAAGGCCUUCGGGUUGUAAAGCCCUUUUGUUGGGAAAGAAAAGCAGCAGGUUAAUACCCCGCUGUUCUGACGGUACCCAAAGAAUAAGCACCGGCUAACUUCGUG